rnacentral:rRNA from 1 species
GACGAACGCUGGCGGCGUGCUUAACACAUGCAAGUCGAACGGAAAGGCCCUGCUUUUGUGGGGUGCUCGAGUGGCGAACGGGUGAGUAACACGUGAGUAGCCUGCCCUUGACUUUGGGAUAACUUCAGGAAACUGGGGCUAAUACCGGAUAGGAGCUCCUGCUGCAUGGUGGGGGUUGGAAAGUUUCGGCGGUUGGGGAUGGACUCGCGGCUUAUCAGCUUGUUGGUGGGGUAGUGGCUUACCAAGGCUUUGACGGGUAGCCGGCCUGAGAGGGUGACCGGCCACAUUGGGACUGAGAUACGGCCCAGACUCCUACGGGAGGCAGCAGUGGGGAAUAUUGCACAAUGGGCGGAAGCCUGAUGCAGCAACGCCGCGUGCGGGAUGACGGCCUUCGGGUUGUAAACCGCUUUCGCCUGUGACGAAGCGUGAUUGACGGUAAUGGGUAAAGAAGCACCGGCUAACUACGUGCCAGCAGCCGCGGUGAUACGUAGGGUGCGAGCGUUGUCCGGAUUUAUUGGGCGUAAAGGGCUCGUAGGUGGUUGAUCGCGUCGGAAGUGUAAUCUUGGGGCUUAACCCUGAGCGUGCUUUCGAUACGGGUUGACUUGAGGAAGGUAGGGGAGAAUGGAAUUCCUGGUGGAGCGGUGGAAUGCGCAGAUAUCAGGAGGAACACCAGUGGCGAAGGCGGUUCUUUGGGCCUUUCCUGACGCUGAGGAGCGAAAGCGUGGGGAGCGAACAGGCUUAGAUACCCUGGUAGUCCACGCUGUAAACGGUGGGUACUAGGUGUGGGGUCCAUUCCACGGGUUCCGUGCCGUAGCUAACGCUUUAAGUACCCCGCCUGGGGAGUACGGCCGCAAGGCUAAAACUCAAAGGAAUUGACGGGGCCCCGCACAAGCGGCGGAGCAUGCGGAUUAAUUCGAUGCAACGCGUAGAACCUUACCUGGGUUUGACAUGGAUCGGGAGUGCUCAGAGAUGGGUGUGCCUCUUUUGGGGUCGGUUCACAGGUGGUGCAUGGCUGUCGUCAGCUCGUGUCGUGAGAUGUUGGGUUAAGUCCCGCAACGAGCGCAACCCUUGUUCACUGUUGCCAGCACGUUAUGGUGGGGACUCAGUGGAGACCGCCGGGGUCAACUCGGAGGAAGGUGGGGAUGACGUCAAGUCAUCAUGCCCCUUAUGUCCAGGGCUUCACGCAUGCAACAAUGGCUGGUACAGAGAGUGGCGAGCCUGUGAGGGUGAGCGAAUCUCGGAAAGUCGGUCUCAGUUCGGAUUGGGGUCUGCAACUCGACCUCAUGAAGUCGGAGUCGCUAGUAAUAGCAGACCAGCAACGCUGCGGUGAAUACGUUCCCGGCCCU